UACAGAGGGUGCAAGCGUUGUUCGGAAUUACUGGGCGUAAAGGGCGCGUAGGCGGCUCGUCGCGUCGGCUGUGAAAACCUGGGGCUCAACCCCGGGCCUGCAGCCGAUACGGGCGAGCUAGAAUUCGGUAGGGGAGACUGGAGUUCCUGGUGUAGCGGUGAAAUGCGCAGAUAUCAGGAAGAACACCCGUGGCGAAAGCGGCUCUCUGGAACGGUACUGACGCUGAGACGCGAAAGCGUGGGGAGCGAACAGG
rnacentral:rRNA from 1 species